UGGGGAAUUUUGGACAAUGGGCGCAAGCCUGAUCCAGCCAUGCCGCGUGCGGGAAGAAGGCCUUCGGGUUGUAAACCGCUUUUGUCAGGGAAGAAAUCUUCUGAGUUAAUACCUCGGGAGGAUGACGGUACCUGAGGAAUAAGCACCGGCUAACUACGUGCCAGCAGCCGCGGUAAUACGUAGGGUGCAAGCGUUAAUCGGAAUUACUGGGCGUAAAGCGUGCGCAGGCGGUUUUGUAAGACAGAGGUGAAAUCCCCGGGCUCAACCUGGGAACUGCCUUUGUGACUGCAAGGCUUGAGUGCGGCAGAGGGGGAUGGAAUUCCGCGUGUAGCAGUGAAAUGCGUAGAUAUGCGGAGGAACACCGAUGGCGAAGGCAAUCCCCUGGGCCUGCACUGACGCUCAUGCACGAAAGCGUGGGGAGCAAACAGGAUUAGAUACCCUGGUAGUCCACGCCCUAAACGAUGUCAACUGGUUGUUGGGAAGGUUCCUUCUCAGUAACGUAGCUAACGCGUGAAGUUGACCGCCUGGGGAGUACGGCCGCAAGGUUG
rnacentral:rRNA from 1 species